UUAAAUUGAAGAGUUUGAUCAUGGCUCAGAUUGAACGCUGGCGGCAGGCCUAACACAUGCAAGUCGAACGGUAACAGGAAGCAGCUUGCUGCUUUGCUGACGAGUGGCGGACGGGUGAGUAAUGUCUGGGAAACUGCCUGAUGGAGGGGGAUAACUACUGGAAACGGUGGCUAAUACCGCAUAACGUCGCAAGACCAAAGAGGGGGACCUUCGGGCCUCUUGCCAUCAGAUGUGCCCAGAUGGGAUUAGCUUGUUGGUGAGGUAACGGCUCACCAAGGCGACGAUCCCUAGCUGGUCUGAGAGGAUGACCAGCCACACUGGAACUGAGACACGGUCCAGACUCCUACGGGAGGCAGCAGUGGGGAAUAUUGCACAAUGGGCGCAAGCCUGAUGCAGCCAUGCCGCGUGUAUGAAGAAGGCCUUCGGGUUGUAAAGUACUUUCAGCGGGGAGGAAGGUGUUGUGGUUAAUAACCGCAGCAAUUGACGUUACCCGCAGAAGAAGCACCGGCUAACUCCGUGCCAGCAGCCGCGGUAAUACGGAGGGUGCAAGCGUUAAUCGGAAUUACUGGGCGUAAAGCGCACGCAGGCGGUCUGUCAAGUCGGAUGUGAAAUCCCCGGGCUCAACCUGGGAACUGCAUUCGAAACUGGCAGGCUUGAGUCUUGUAGAGGGGGGUAGAAUUCCAGGUGUAGCGGUGAAAUGCGUAGAGAUCUGGAGGAAUACCGGUGGCGAAGGCGGCCCCCUGGACAAAGACUGACGCUCAGGUGCGAAAGCGUGGGGAGCAAACAGGAUUAGAUACCCUGGUAGUCCACGCCGUAAACGAUGUCUACUUGGAGGUUGUGCCCUUGAGGCGUGGCUUCCGGAGCUAACGCGUUAAGUAGACCGCCUGGGGAGUACGGCCGCAAGGUUAAAACUCAAAUGAAUUGACGGGGGCCCGCACAAGCGGUGGAGCAUGUGGUUUAAUUCGAUGCAACGCGAAGAACCUUACCUGGUCUUGACAUCCACAGAACUUUCCAGAGAUGGAUUGGUGCCUUCGGGAACUGUGAGACAGGUGCUGCAUGGCUGUCGUCAGCUCGUGUUGUGAAAUGUUGGGUUAAGUCCCGCAACGAGCGCAACCCUUAUCCUUUGUUGCCAGCGGUCCGGCCGGGAACUCAAAGGAGACUGCCAGUGAUAAACUGGAGGAAGGUGGGGAUGACGUCAAGUCAUCAUGGCCCUUACGACCAGGGCUACACACGUGCUACAAUGGCGCAUACAAAGAGAAGCGACCUCGCGAGAGCAAGCGGACCUCAUAAAGUGCGUCGUAGUCCGGAUUGGAGUCUGCAACUCGACUCCAUGAAGUCGGAAUCGCUAGUAAUCGUGGAUCAGAAUGCCACGGUGAAUACGUUCCCGGGCCUUGUACACACCGCCCGUCACACCAUGGGAGUGGGUUGCAAAAGAAGUAGGUAGCUUAACCUUCGGGAGGGCGCUUACCACUUUGUGAUUCAUGACUGGGGUGAAGUCGUAACAAGGUAACCGUAGGGGAACCUGCGGUUGGAUCACCUCCUUACCUGAAAGAAGC
rnacentral:rRNA from 10 species